GGGGAUAUGGCGAAAUCGGUAG
rnacentral:tRNA from 2 species